rnacentral:rRNA from 1 species
GAUGAACGCUGACAGAAUGCUUAACACAUGCAAGUCAACUGUGGCGGACGGGUGAGUAACGCGUAAAGAACUUGCCUCACAGUUAGGGUCAACAUUUGGAAACGAAUGCUAAUACCUGAUACUGUGAGAGCGCUUUGCGUCCCAUUAGCUAGUUGGAGUGGUAACGGCUCACCAAGGCGAUGAUGGGUAGCCGGCCUGAGAGGGUGAUCGGCCACAAGGGGCCUGAGGCACGGCCCGUACUCCUACGUGAGGCAGCGGUGGAGAAUAGUGGAAAAUGGACCAAAGUCUGAUCCAGGAAUUCUGUGUGCACGAUGAAGUUUUCGGAAUGUAAAGUGCUUUCAGUUGGGAAGCGGUACCAACAGAAGAAGUAACGGCUAAAUCCGUGCCAGCAGCCGCGGUAAUAC